GCAUGGCCGAAUACUGUGUUCUUUAAUCAGUAAUUUGCACAGCCAGACACCAUGCAAAAGUAAAGUCUUUCUUUUAAAUGACUGAUGAUAUGCUAGUUAUUAUUGGUAUAUCAUUAUUAAAAGUGAGUACAAAU
ensembl:snoRNA